rnacentral:lncRNA from 1 species
AGGUUCGGAUUUUUAAUCCUUUUUCUCAUUUAUUUUUCUAAAUUUGUAAAAUAAUAUUCUGAUUUGAAUAUUAUAGUUAUUGUAUUUUAGGUGAAAUUAUGUGUUUGAAUUGGAUUACUUAUCAGCUUGGGAGCAUAAUUUUAUUAGGCAAAAACUAUGGGUGAAAGAUAAUUACCUUAGCUGAUUUGUAGACUUGUGGGUUAUUACCUCUUUGAAUGUUGGUGCAAAUUUGUUUCUAGUGCUAAUAUUUAAAAGAAUCCUGCAGCUGUUUUUGCUACUAUGGGUGUUCUGGUUUCAAUUUAUUGGAUGUUGAUUAGUUUCUAGAUUUGAAUUCUGGGUAUGUUCAGUUUUUAAGCUUAGAUCAAUUUUGGACCCUAGUAUUUAUGCUUUCUAUUUCUUAUGUCAGCUGAGAAGCUUUGAGUAUUGACCUUGAAGGGUAUCAUUCCAAAUUCUAAUUUCGUGUUUUUGUUAAAAAUAGAGAUGAAUGAGAAUUUGCUACCUUUAAUUUUACAGUUUGCUUGCAUGAAUGUUUAGCCUACCUAUUCUUUUGAAAUUUUAUUCUAAGUUGAAUAAGAAGAUGUAACAAUUGUGUCUGGGGAAAUAAUAGAAAGUUGGUUGUUUCAAGUGUACUUUUGUUCUUAAUAGCAAAUUUUGUUUCAAACUGAGUGAUUAUGUUGGGGUUAACAGUGCAGUGGGAAAAAUGAACUAAUCUCUAUGGAACUUUUCUUCUACUACAAGAUGAUGGCCAAGUUGAUCGUUUGAAAUUGGGACGAAUUGUCUUAUGUGAUGCCUCCAAACGUCAACUCAUUAAUCGGUUGAUUUUUCAUUAAUUUCAUCCUCUUCCUUUUUAAAUAUUUUAAACUCAGCUUCAUGUUUGGAAUAGCUUAAAAGCUUUGUUUCUCUAGUAUUAUACUUAUCCGGUAGUCUAUACUAGUCCUGGAGGUCAGAAUUUUAUCUCCAAAUUGCAAGUUUUAUUAGCAUUUUUAAUGUAAAAUUUGGCCUUUCUUUAGUUUGUUUUGUAUGCAUGAUUUUGUCAAUGUUGUAGCAAAUUGAUAUCAUGAUCUCCUAGGAGGUUGCUUUUUAACGAUUUAAAGGCUAUUUUUCUUACGGUGAGUCUCAAGUUUUUAAUCGAAUCAUCAUUUUAUUGCAUGUUGAGUCUUCGAAUUUAGCUCGCUGACUUCUGUUUUUUUUUUUUAAAUUGGUUGACGAAGGCAAGGGAGGAAGGUUUUCCGGUGGUUUUAAUAUCAAUGUUUUCACGAAAGUUCAUGGAACCGGUAUGAGUUUAUUAGUUAGGCAAUUUAAUUUGAGUGUGAAUUUAGUGAUUAUCGAGUUAAUUACUUAAAUUUAGUGAGCAGCGUAAAUUUAGAAUCUCUGAUUGUGUAUUUGAUUGGUGGUUAAAUAGGUGAUUAUCGAGUUAAUUUGUCUUUUAUAAAAGACCUUUCAAUUUUCAAUGUUGUUUAGGUUCGCAAACAAGAUGCUGUAUUUGGACUUGCUGUUAGUAAAAGACUUGCUGU